CUCUUUCGUACUCGUAGGACUUCUUUUCGACCUACACCACUCACUCAGUGCAGCGUAAGACGAGAAAAGUCAGGUGAGACAAGCAUCUUUUCAAUAUGUCUGGUAAGGAGGAUGAUGAGAUGGCAGCAAUAAUACCUGAUCAGGAGACGGAGGAGGAGGACCCAGUGACGGAGAAGAAGAAAAGUCAUGGAACUAGUUCUUUGAUUACCGCCUCGCUGUUGAUGAGCAACAUCUCGCAGCUCCGCCUAUUGGUGGUCGGGGGAGCGAAAAAAGAUAGGCCCGGUCUCUGGGGAGCGCUACUGGCUCUCAUCUCCAUAUCUAUCCUGCUGCAACUUAUUAUAGCGGUAUUGUUAAUU